CUACGGGACGCACCAGUGAGGAAUAUUGCACAAUGGGGGGAACCCUGAUGCAGCAACGCCGCGUGGAGGAUGACGCAUUUCGGUGUGUAAACUCCUUUUAUAUGUCAAGAAAAUGACGGUAGCAUAUGAAUAAGCACCGGCUAACUCCGUGCCAGCAGCCGCGGUAAUACGGAGGGUGCAAGCGUUACUCGGAAUCACUGGGCAUAAAGGACGCGUAGGCGGGUUGGAAAGUCAGGUGUGAAAUCCUACAGCUUAACUGUAGAACUGCACUUGAAACUUCUAAUCUAGAGUAUGGGAGGGGGAGAUGGAAUUAGUGGUGUAGGGGUAAAAUCCGUAGAUAUCACUAGGAAUACCUAAAGCGAAGGCGAUCUCCUGGAACAUUACUGACGCUAAGGCGUGGAAGCGUGGGGAGCAAACAGGAUUAGAUACCCCAGUAGUC
rnacentral:rRNA from 1 species